rnacentral:ncRNA from 1 species
GUAAAAAUUUUAUAAGAAUAUGAUGUUGGUUCAGAUUAAGCGCUAAAUAAGGACAUGACACAUGCGAAUCAUACGUUUAUUAUUGAUAAGAUAAUAAAUAUGUGGUGUAAACGUGAGUAAUUUUAUUAGGAAUUAAUGAACUAUAGAAUAAGCUAAAUACUUAAUAUAUUAUUAUAUAAAAAUAAUUUAUAUAAUAAAAAGGAUAUAUAUAUAAUAUAUAUUUAUCUAUAGUCAAGCCAAUAAUGGUUUAGGUAGUAGGUUUAUUAAGAGUUAAACCUAGCCAACGAUCCAUAAUCGAUAAUGAAAGUUAGAACGAUCACGUUGACUCUGAAAUAUAGUCAAUAUCUAUAAGAUACAGCAGUGAGGAAUAUUGGACAAUGAUCGAAAGAUUGAUCCAGUUACUUAUUAGGAUGAUAUAUAAAAAUAUUUUUAUUUUAUUUAUAAAUAUUAAAUAUUUAUAAUAAUAAUAAUAAUAUAUAUAUAUAAAUUGAUUAAAAAUAAAAUCCAUAAAUAAUUAAAAUAAUGAUAUUAAUUACCAUAUAUAUUUUUAUAUGGAUAUAUAUAUUAAUAAUAAUAUUAAUUUUAUUAUUAUUAAUAAUAUAUUUUAAUAGUCCUGACUAAUAUUUGUGCCAGCAGUCGCGGUAACACAAAGAGGGCGAGCGUUAAUCAUAAUGGUUUAAAGGAUCCGUAGAAUGAAUUAUAUAUUAUAAUUUAGAGUUAAUAAAUAUAAUUAAAGAAUUAUAAUAGUAAAGAUGAAAUAAUAAUAAUAAUUAUAAGACUAAUAUAUGUGAAAAUAUUAAUUAAAUAUUAACUGACAUUGAGGGAUUAAAACUAGAGUAGCGAAACGGAUUCGAUACCCGUGUAGUUCUAGUAGUAAACUAUGAAUACAAUUAUUUAUAAUAUAUAUUAUAUAUAAAUAAUAAAUGAAAAUGAAAGUAUUCCACCUGAAGAGUACGUUAGCAAUAAUGAAACUCAAAACAAUAGACGGUUACAGACUUAAGCAGUGGAGCAUGUUAUUUAAUUCGAUAAUCCACGACUAACCUUACCAUAUUUUGAAUAUUAUAAUAAUUAUUAUAAUUAUUAUAUUACAGGCGUUACAUUGUUGUCUUUAGUUCGUGCUGCAAAGUUUUAGAUUAAGUUCAUAAACGAACAAAACUCCAUAUAUAUAAUUUUAAUUAUAUAUAAUUUUAUAUUAUUUAUUAAUAUAAAGAAAGGAAUUAAGACAAAUCAUAAUGAUCCUUAUAAUAUGGGUAAUAGACGUGCUAUAAUAAAAUGAUAAUAAAAUUAUAUAAAAUAUAUUUAAUUAUAUUUAAUUAAUAAUAUAAAACAUUUUAAUUUUUAAUAUAUUUUUUUAUUAUAUAUUAAUAUGAAUUAUAAUCUGAAAUUCGAUUAUAUGAAAAAAGAAUUGCUAGUAAUACGUAAAUUAGUAUGUUACGGUGAAUAUUCUAACUGUUUCGCACUAAUCACUCAUCACGCGUUGAAACAUAUUAUUAUCUUAUUAUUUAUAUAAUAUUUUUUAAUAAAUAUUAAUAAUUAUUAAUUUAUAUUUAUUUAUAUCAGAAAUAAUAUGAAUUAAUGCGAAGUUGAAAUACAGUUACCGUAGGGGAACCUGCGGUGGGCUUAUAAAUAUCUUAAAUAUUCUUACA